rnacentral:rRNA from 1 species
GGUUUUCUAUGGAAACACACUUCCC